rnacentral:lncRNA from 1 species
GUUGCAAACACCCUGGGGUGCACCGCUGCAAGCGCCUGGAGUGGCACUGCGAAACCCAGGGUACCGUUGUUGUCCUGAGGGCGCCAUUGAAAACACUGCAGCAUCGUUGCAAAAAGCUGGAGGAACGUUGCAGACACCCUGGGGAGCACCACUGCAAACACUUGCAGUGGCAUUGCAAGCCCUAGAGCGCCAUUGCAAACCCAGGGGCACCGUUGUAAAUCCCCAGAGAGGCACUGCAAACCGUGGGACACCACCACAAACAAUUAGAGCAGCACUGCAAACCUCAGAACACCUUUACAAGCACCCCAGGGCAGCUCUUCAGACCUGUCACAUGCAACCCCUGAGCUGCAGCAAGGCGGCAGGAGACUGCAGUCCUGCACUGCUCAGCCCGUCUUGCAGCAGUAGCACUGGGACGUGGCAUGCAGUGACCAACCCCUCUCCCCCUACUUGCAGGAGUGGUCCCCAAUGAUGGGCAGUUCCCCAUUGCGCAGGGGGUGCGGAGAAGCUUCCUGUGCACCGGGCCCAUGUGCCGCUACGCUGAGGACCUGGAGCCGAUGCUGCGGGUCAUGGCUGGCCCUGAGGUGCACAAGCUGAAGCUGGAUGAAAAUGUGUCGCUGGAGAAAAUCAAGUUCCUCUGCAUGGACCACGAUGGGGGCUCCAUGUUUGUGUACCCCGUGGAAAAAGAGAUCCUGCAAGCCCAGAAGAAGGUAGG